rnacentral:rRNA from 1 species
CGCAGACAACAGGGAUGCCUUAGUAGCGGCGAGUGAAGCGGCAAUAGCUCAAAUUUGAAAUCUGGCGUCUUCGGCGUCCGAGUUGUAAUUUGAAGAAGGUAUCUUUGGUUUUGGCUCUUGUCUAUGUUCCUUGGAACAGGACGUCACAGAGGGUGAGAAUCCCGUGCGAUGAGAUGCCCAAUUCCAUGUAAAGUUCCUUCGACGAGUCGAGUUGUUUGGGAAUGCAGCUCUAAGUGGGUGGUAAAUUCCAUCUAAAGCUAAAUAUUGGCGAGAGACCGAUAGCGAACAAGUACUGUGAAGGAAAGAUGAAAAGAACUUUGAAAAGAGAGUGAAAAAGUACGUGAAAUUGUUGAAAGGGAAGGGCUUGAGAUCAGACUUGGAAUUUUCCAGCAAUGGAGCUUUCCGGGCCAGCAUCAGUUUGGAUGGCAGGAUAAUUGCGUAGGAAAGUGGCUCCACUACGGUGGAGUGUUAUAGCCUGCGUCGAUACUGCCUGUCUAGACUGAGGACUGCGUCUUGACUAGAUGCUGCG